UAUAUUGUAUAUCACUAUUAUAGGUCGAAGGGUUACAUUGUAAAACCUGGAAUUAAAUUUGGUGGAGAUUUCUUAAUCUAUAGAGAUGGACCAGGGGUAAACCAUUCUGAUUAUGUAGUAGUUAUAAAACAGAAACAAGAAUCACAAGAUUGGCUUAAUAUGCUCGGACAUGUGAGGAUGGCUGCAACAACUGUUAAGGAAAUUAUAAUAAUAGAAGUUAUUGAGCCAUGUAAAGACAACAUAACACUACCAAAAGAUUUGAAGGAGUAUACUAUAAAAGAAAUAAUUCUAACAAGAAAUAUUCCAGAUGUAAUAAACAAUGAUGAAGA